GAGCUCAGCUGGUUAGAGCAUGGUGCUGAUAAUGCCAAGGUUGCAGGUUCAAUCCCCGUAUGAGACA